AAAUUUAAAUAUAGUUUAUGUUAAAAUAUUUUAAACUUUCUUUAUAUUUUUAGUAUAAAUUUAUAUAUAAAUAGAAGAAAAAUUUAUUUUUUUAAAAAAAUAAAAUAGAAGUUUAAUAAAAUGAUUUGGCUAAACUUGUGCCAGCCGCCGCGGUUAUACAAGUAAAUCUUUUUUAAUAUAUUAAAAAUAAUAAAAUUAUUAAAAAAUUUUUAAAAAAUUAAUAAAGGUGAAAUUUAUAUUUUUUAAUAACAAAAUUGAUUUUAAAAAAAUUUAAUUUUUAAACUAGGAUUAGAUACCCUAUUAUUUUAAGCUAAAUAUUGGUAGUAAGUAAAGUUUAUGAAAUCAUAAAAUUUUGGCGGUAUUUUAAGCUUAUUAGAGGAAUUUGCUCUGUAAUGGACACAACGCCUUGAUCUUACUUAAUUUAGUAUUAAAUCAGUUUGUAUACCACUAUAUUUAAUUAUAUUGAAUAAUUAUAGUUAAGAUUUUUUUUACCUAAAAAGUAUAUUAAGUCAAGGUGCAGCUCAUAAUUAUGAAUGAAGUGAAUUACAUUAAUUUUAAUGCUAUAAUAUUGAAAAGAAAAUUAGGAUUUAAUAGUAAAAUAUUAAUAGAAUGAAUAUUUGAAAUAAGCUCUAAAAUAUGCACAUAUCGCCCGUCGCUCUCAGAGGUGAGAUAAGUCGUAACAAAGUAAAAGUACUGGAAAGUGUUUUU
rnacentral:rRNA from 1 species